CUCAAAAAUUAGAAAAACCUGAGUAGUAUUACAAUCAUUAAAAAAAAAUUAAAUCAGUUAAAAAAAAAACAACUCCUCUCACAUAUAUACACAAAAUUCUCUACACACAGCUGACCUAGGAAUAACCAGCUUUACAGAAACUAUCC